rnacentral:tRNA from 1 species
UUUAAAUAGCUUAUAUUAGAGCUUAAUAUUGAAGAUAUUAGUGAGAAAUUUAUUUCUUUAAAUAU